UUGAAGUCAAAUCAAAAGUUUCCACAAAAUGGAAAGUGACCUGUACUUUCAAGUUUCCAAAAAUGGCAAGUUUUUAGAGCACAUUCAACUUGACUUUCUAACAUCAAAGAAGCUUCAAAUGAAUUUUUGGUCAACAUGAAAGUUGAGGAUCUUUCUCUCCCAUUUCGAAAAAGUCCAAGAUCAUGAUCAUCUGAUGAAUGGUUGAGAAGUUAUGAUCCAAUGAUUGCAAAG
rnacentral:lncRNA from 1 species